GACAAUCAAAAUCGGCCAAGCUAGAACCUGACUGAGUAACCGCCUUAAACCCUAAACCCACGAAAAGUUAACGAAAGAAAUUGAACAGACAAUUUCAAUUUUAUUCUUUCUUGAUUCCCAAGCUUUCAACGCCAUCUUUCCAAUCAUCGUUCUCUUUAACAUUCUAUCUCAUUAAUUUUUUCAAAUAGAAUUUCUACCUAAUUUUUUUGGUAGUGCAGUUCAUUGACAUUCACCUUCAAAUGAUGAGAAAAUUCAAGCUAAUUGGGAUUGCUUCAAACUCAUUAACCCGCAUUUUUCAUUCACAUGGGUUUCUUAGCAAUUCUGCUGAAGAAUGGCAAGCAUUAUUAAUCCACAGAACAAGAUUUUGCAGUUAUAGAUAUAUUGACAGAAUAAAUUGGAAUCUAUUUAAUGGAGCAGUAUAUACCUUUCCAUUGACAAAGCGCCAUUUUCAUGCUACAGGGUCGUUGCAAGCAAGUGAAAGGAGUUAUUAUGAUAUUUUGGGUGUUUCAAACGAUGCUAGCCGCGAUGAGAUUAGAAAGGCUUUCCAUGGGUUGGCCAAGAAGUAUCAUCCAGACACAAAUAAGAAUAAUCCUUCUGCCAAGAGGAAAUUUCAAGAGAUAACAGAUGCUUAUGAGAUUUUGAGAGACUCCAAGAAAAGAGCACAAUAUGACAUGAGCCUAAAAGUAGGAUCGGACUAUGCAAGGGAUGAUUCCGGAGGCUGGAGUUCGGAGAAUGCACAAUAUGAUUUUUCUGAUGCUGAGAAAUUUCGAACUGCUUAUAGAACCCACUUUUCAGAUUCAUUCCAUAAAAUAUUUUCUGAGAUAUUUGAAGAUGAAGUGGAAAACUUUGCUCCUGAUAUUCAGGUUGAGCUCUUGCUUUCAUUUUCUGAAGCAGUUAGAGGUUGCACGAAGGAGGUUUCUUUUGAGUCAAACGUCCCCUGUGAUUCAUGCCAUGGGUGCGGCUAUCCUUUUGAUGCAAAGGCUAGAAUUUGUCCAACUUGUGGAGGGAUUGGGAGGGUAACUAUUCCUCCAUUUUCGUCCACCUGUAGCACUUGUAAGGGGUCAGGAAGAGUUAUUACCGAGAAAUGUGGGAGCUGCAAAGGAUUUGGGGUGGUUGAAGGUGUCAAGAAAGUUAUAGUAACAAUACCGGCAGGUGUGGAUUCCGGUGACACUAUUACUGUCCAUGAAGCUGGUAAUUCCGCUGGAGUAGGAGCGAAUCCUGGAAAUUUGUUCAUAAGAUUAAAGGUUGCUGAUGACCCAAUUUUUAGUAGAAAUGGAGUAGAUCUCUUUGUGGAUGCUAACAUCAGCUUUGUAGAGGCUAUUCUUGGAGGCAAGGUUGAUGUACCAACUUUGACAGGAAAGAUUUCGUUGGAUAUUCCCAAAGGAGUCCAGCCGGGACAUGUUCAGGUGCUACGAGGGAAGGUUACAUUCUCGGGGGAUACUUGUGACAGGAUUACCAAGGCAUGGAUAUCUAGUCAACCGUGGUGAUCAACAUGUUCGAUUCUGCAUAUAUUUUCCCAAGAAGGUGAAUGAACGUCAAAGAGAAAUACUAGAGGAGUUUGAGGAGGAGGAAAUUGCUCGUGAAGAAGAGUCUUCUAAAUCUACUUGGCUUCAUCAGCAGCUAUCUACUGGUUGAACUUUCAGGUGGGAGCUAAUCCUUGAUAGGCCCAAUUUUAUGCUCGAAUUCUCUGUCAUCCUUCUGAUUCUACUCUUCAUGAAGAAAAUCUUGGUUUGAGAUCGAGGCUUUGCUGGACAAUCUUUGCUGACUGUCGGCUCAUUCUGUUUGCUAUUUCAGCUGAACGGAGGUAUUUCCGUGUCUCUGCUGAUUCUGCAAUUAAUUGAAAGAAAGUUCAUCCUGAUGCAUACAGCGAUGCAUAAAGAAUUUGUAAUUUUGUAUAGAAACUUUGAUUUUCUAAAAUUAAACCCCCACAAUAAGAAAGCAAAAUGAUAUACCACUGAAAUACACUCUCAGUCUCGGCCCUAGCUUUGCUCGGUGUCUGUAAACCAAUUUUUCAAGUCAUACUGAAUGAUUUCUGUUGUACCGCACAUUGUCACAUGAUUCAAUAAUCUCAUUGAGAAUGUGAUUCAAAA